AUGAUGUCCCCAGCUGCCACAGCGGUAUGUCGAUGCUGGCAAAACCGACUGCCUACGUCAGUAAAUCAGCUCGGAGUGGACGGUUUAAAAGGCAAAGGUCCAUGGCUGCAACAUUGGGGAAACCUACUUAGAUCCAGUGGGCUCUGCAUAAGCAGCAGCAAGUGGACCGGGAUACCGAACUACUGCCGGUUCACCUUUGCAGUUCCAUCCUAUUUCCAGAUUGCAGGACCAGAUCGCCAGCACCAUCACCACGAUCAGGCUCUUUGUGAUACUUCCACAGGCAUGGCAUUCUGGUAUGGCCAUCACCCUGACAAUUCCUUGAAAAUGAUCUUGCUUGGCCAUCAUUAUCUGGACCAGGUUCAACUUUUGUGCCUUGUACAUUAUUUACAUCCCUCUUUCGUAGAUAUAACAACUAUGCCAUGGGAAGUCUCGCACGGGCACUUGCUAGCAAGCUAG
rnacentral:rRNA from 1 species